rnacentral:rRNA from 1 species
CCUACGGGCGACAGCAGUGGGGAAUAUUGGGCAAUGGAGGCAACUCUGACCCAGCAACGCCGCGUGAAUGAUGAAGGUCUUCGGAUUGUAAAGUUCUGUGAUGGGGGAAGAACACAAUGACUGUACCCCAAUAGCAAGCCACGGCUAACUACGUGUCAGCAGCCGCGGUAAUACGUAGGUGGCAAGCGUUAUCCGGAAUGAUUGGGCGUAAAGCGUGCGGAGGUGGUUUGGUAAGUUUGCGGUGUAAUUCCGGGGCUCAAACUCGGCUCUACUUGGAAAAUAGCAAACUAGGGUUAGAUGGAGGUAAGCGGAAUUCCAUGUGAGGCGGUGAAAGGCGUAGAUAUAUGGAAGAACACCAAAGGCGAAGGCAGAUUACUGGGUAGAUACUGACGCUGAGGGACGAAAGCGUGGGGAGCAAACAAGAUGAGAGACCCGAGUAGUC